rnacentral:rRNA from 1 species
UACGUAGGCAGCGAGCGUUGUUCGGAGUUACUGGGCGUAAAGGGUGCGUAGGCGGUUGUUUAAGUUUGGUGUGAAAUCUCCCGGCUCAACUGGGAGGGUGCGCCGAAUACUGAAUGACUCGAGUGUGGGAGAGGUGAGUGGAAUUCCUGGUGUAGCGGUGAAAUGCGUAGAUAUCAGGAGGAACACCGGUGGUGUAGACGGCUCACUGGACCAUAACUGACGCUGAGACACGAAAGCGUGGGUAGCAAACAGG